rnacentral:rRNA from 1 species
UACGUAGGGAGCGAGCGUUGUCCGGAUUCAUUGGGCGUAAAGAGCUCGUAGGCGGCUUGGCAAGUCGGGUGUGAAAACUCCAGGCUCAACCUGGAGACGCCACCCGAUACUGCCAUGGCUAGAGUCCGGUAGGGGACCACGGAAUUCCUGGUGUAGCGGUGAAAUGCGCAGAUAUCAGGAGGAACACCGGUGGCGAAGGCGGUUCUCUGGGCCUGUACUGACGCUGAGGAACGAAAGCGUGGGGAGCGAACAGG